GAUGAAGAACGUAGCGAAAUGCGAUAAGUAAUGUGAAUUGCAGAAUUCAGUGAAUCAUCGAAUCUUUGAACGCACAUUGCGCCCGCCAGUAUUCUGGCGGGCAUGCCUGUCUGAGCGUCAUUUCAACCCUCAUGCCCCUAGGGCGUGGUGUUGGGGAUCGGCCAAAGCCCGCGAGGGACGGCCGGCCCCUAAAUCUAGUGACGGACCCGUCGUGGCCUCCUCUGCGAAGUAGUGAUAUUCCGCAUCGGAGAGCGAUGAGCCCCUGCCGUUAAACCCCCAACUUUCCAAGGUUGACCUCAGAUCAGGUAGGAAUACCCGCUGAACUUAAGCAUAUCAAUAAGCGGAGGA
rnacentral:misc_RNA from 1 species